AUAAUGGUCUCAGGUGUGUGAGGGCAGCUGGGCCCCCUGUAGUAGCCUCAGGUGUGUGUGUGGAGGGAUGGCAGUGCCCAUAGCAGGCUCAGGUAUGUGUGUAUGGGGCUGUGGGGGUCAUAGUGGUCUCAGGUAUGUGUAUGGGGGUAUCAGGGUUUAUAGGGGACUCAGGUGUGUGGGGCUAUCAGGGUUUAUAGGGGUCUCAGGUGUGUGUAUGGGGGUGUCAGGGUUUAUAGGGGCCUCAGGUAUGUGUAUGGGGGUGUCAGGGUUUAUAGGGGCCUCAGGUGUGUGUAGGGGGGGUGUCAGAGUCUAUAGGGGUCUCAGGUGUGUGUAUGGGGCUGUCAGGGUUUAUAGGGGUCUCGGGUGUGGGGGGCAUUGUCAGGGUCUAUAGUGGGCUCAGGUUUGUGAGAGGGACACUGUUUGGGCAGCGUAAAAGGGCAGCUCUGAGGCUUUCAGUAUGUGCUGCAGGUGUUGGAGAGCCAGGACAAGGACUAUGUGUCCUGUGGCAGAUCCCAGCAGGAAGAGGCUCCUGGUAACCAGAGGAGCAGAUGGGACUUUGCAGCAGUCAAAAGCACAAAGGAGAAGGGACUGUAGCAGGGAUGGAGAGCUCUGGAUUAGGAAAUGCUUGGGAGUAGAGGCAGGGAAAGAACCAUCCUUACAGAGCCCUGUGAAACCAGAGGUACAGAAACCUGAGAGCCCUGAGUCCCAGGUGAGGGGUGUUGGUGUGUCCUGUACCUCAAAGGCCAAGAAGGGCACAGCAAGCAUGACUCGUGUGUCAGCUGCUCUGUGAAAAGCUGGUGCUGACCAGGCAGGAGGCAGAAAUCUCUCCUCAAACUCCUUGGGGCGUAGACAGUUAAGUUUCUGCGUUUGUAAGGGAAACAUGGCAUUCCUUACAGCUGAGCCUCCUCCCUCGGGUUCCCACUGAAUGCCUGAGAGAUGACAGCAGAGGGUGUCUCCAGAAGGCUCCUAUUAAACGGGAGGAAUUAGCACGGAGGGAGCAACAGCGAGAUCCCAGUUUUGACCACAGAAUGAGCUAAAAAGCGUUGCAUCAGCAGCUGUUUGCAGUUUCUUACCCGCUGGCUGCGCACAGCUCCUGUUCAGGGGGCUCCUGUGCCCUCCUCUUGGUACCUCCGCCCUCCUGGAGCGUGAAGGGCUGUGCUGGGAGGGUAAAUCGGCUCCAAACCGAAAGUGCUGAGGCGGCGUGAGGCAGGGCAGAUUCACCUUGGGAGGGCAGCCGUGGUUCAGACACACUUACAACUAGUCGGGUGUCCCCAGCAUCACGAACCAGGCGGGCAGGGGAGCGGUGAGCUGAGUAUGUGGACAGAUGGAACAGAUACAGACAGGAAAUGGGGAAGGAAGGGGGGAAAUUAAUGUUUGUAAAGCUUUAAGGGGGCUCUGGUUAGUUCUGAGAAAGAGGUUGAGUCCUGCAGUCCAGUUUCUGUUUUUAGCUCUGUGACCGUAUAACUUUGGGAAGCGAUUUGAGCAGUUCGAGCCAGGUGUGAGUGGGGAGAGGACAAAACCCCGUGGGCACCAGGCAGCUCAUGCGAUGUGGCAGCUGCCACCACACCCUUUCCUGUUCGCCCCGCGGCCGCGGGCAGCCCUGCCAGCCGCGCUGCCUGAGUGAGGAGAGAGGGGGAAAGGAGUGCUUUCCAAAAUGCUGAUAACCCCCAGCACCCGGCAUUCCUUGGAAAAGGAGAGGUAGUGAGCAGCUCUGGUGGUGUCUCUCCCCUCGGACAAGUCAAACGCUCCCAAAAGCCCUGGGAGCUGCUCCGGGGUGGUGCUGACUUUUGGCCGUGCCUCAUCCUGGCUCCUGUUACAGGCGAUGUUGACUUACGGAAAAAGGCACCGGGCAUACUUGGCAUGGGCGUUCCGAGUUAAAAAUUGUCAGUCUGGGCAAACAGACCUUUGGGGUGAACUGCAGGAGAGCCAAGUGCCUGCACUGCGUUAUGGCAGCUCUUGUCAGAACACCAGAGUGUGACCUGGUGCUGCUCUGGGUGCCGAGCGCCCGGCUCGGCGGGUUUGGAGAAGUGCUGCAGGUUUUGGAGCUCCGUCCUUUAGACCAAACCCAUUUCCUUCCCCUCGGUGAGGUGCUCGUAGCGCCUCAGUGAGUCAGUAAGCUCUGCAUGUGAGGAAUGCACCUCACAGCUGAAGGUGAGCCAUUGGUGUGGCUGUGCUGGAGGCAAGGAGACUAAUUAGUCCUUCCCUUAGACUUUGAGCUGCAGAAGUAAGAUAGGUGAGAUAUUUAGCCUGGAAUAUCCAUGUGAGGCAUUUUCAGAUCCUGGUUUUAACGGUGUGAGUCUCACACAGGAUCUGUGUCUUGGUCCUUAAUUCUGUAGCAGUGUCUAGUCAGGAGGAUAACCUGUACCUGGCAGAUUUGGGGCAUUCCUGAUGGAUUUGGGCACGUGUUCUAGGAGCUGCUGCUUACUGGCAGGGUGAAAGUGAGAUCACAGUGCUGUGGUGGGGCUUUGCUGUGAGUAUGGAGGAACAGGGAAGUAAUUUCUGUAUUAAAAUAUAAUAAAGUUUGGGUGAG